rnacentral:rRNA from 1 species
UGUGCUGUGAGCUCGAUGAGUAGGGCGGGACACGUGGUAUCCUGUCUGAAUAUGGGGGGACCAUCCUCCAAGGCUAAAUACUCCUGACUGACCGAUAGUGAACCAGUACCGUGAGGGAAAGGCGAAAAGAACCCCGGCGAGGGGAGUGAAAAAGAACCUGAAACCGUGUACGUACAAGCAGUGGGAGCACCCUUUGGGGUGUGACUGCGUACCUUUUGUAUAAUGGGUCAGCGACUUAUAUUCUGUAGCAAGGUUAACCGAAUAGGGGAGCCGGAGGGAAACCGAGUCUUAAUUGGGCGUUAAGUUGCAGGGUAUAGACCCGAAACCCGGUGAUCUAGCCAUGGGCAGGUUGAAGGUUGGGUAACACUAACUGGAGGACCGAACCGACUAAUGUUGAAAAAUUAGCGGAUGACCUGUGGCUGGGGGUGAAAGGCCAAUCAAACCGGGAGAUAGCUGGUUCUCCCCGAAAGCUAUUUAGGUAGCGCCUCGUGAAUUCAUCUCCGGGGGUAGAGCACUGUUUCGGCUAGGGGGCCAUCCCGGCUUACCAACCCGAUGCAAACUGCGAAUACCGGAGAAUGUUAUCACGGGAGACACACGGCGGGUGCUAACGUCCGUCGUGAAGAGGGAAACAACCCAGACCGCCAGCUAAGGUCCCAAAGUCAUGGUUAAGUGGGAAACGAUGUGGGAAGGCCCAGACAGCCAGGAUGUUGGCUUAGAAGCAGCCAUCAUUUAAAGAAAGCGUAAUAGCUCACUGGUCGAGUCGGCCUGCGCGGAAGAUGUAACGGGGCUAAACCAUGCACCGAAGCUGCGGCAGCGACGCUGAUGCGUUGUUGGGUAGGGGAGCGUUCUGUAAGCCUGCGAAGGUGGCCUGUGAGGGUUGCUGGAGGUAUCAGAAGUGCGAAUGCUGACAUAAGUAACGAUAAAGCGGGUGAAAAGCCCGCUCGCCGGAAGACCAAGGGUUCCUGUCCAACGUUAAUCGGGGCAGGGUGAGUCGACCCCUAAGGCGAGGCCGAAAGGCGUAGUCGAUGGGAAACGGGUUAAUAUUCCCGUACUUGGUGUUACUGCGAAGGGGGGACGGAGAAGGCUAUGUUGGCCGGGCGACGGUUGUCCCGGUUUAAGCGUGUAGGCUGGUUUUCCAGGCAAAUCCGGAAAAUCAAGGC